rnacentral:rRNA from 1 species
UCCCCAGACUCCUACGGGAGGCAGCGGUGAGGAAUAUUGGUCAAUGGGCUUACGCCUGAACCAGCCAAGUCGCGUGAGGGAAGACUGCCCUAUGGGUUGUAAACCUCUUUUGUCGGGGAGCAAAAGACGCCACGUGUGGCGUUCCGAGAGUACCCGAAGAAAAAGCAUCGGCUAACUCCGUGCCAGCAGCCGCGGUAAUACGGAGGAUGCGAGCGUUAUCCGGAUUUAUUGGGUUUAAAGGGUGCGCAGGCGGAAGAUCAAGUCAGCGGUAAAAUUGAGGGGCUCAACCUCUUCGAGCCGUUGAAACUGGUUUUCUUGAGUGAGCGAGAAGUAUGCGGAAUGCGUGGUGUAACGGUGAAAUGCAUAGAUAUCACGCAGAACUCCGAUUGCGAAGGCAGCAUACCGGCGCUCAACUGACGCUCAUGCACGAAAGUGUGGGUAUCGAACAGGAUUAGAUACCCCAGUA